rnacentral:sRNA from 1 species
GGGUUAGAUGGAGAAGGGGGGUUCAUUUCUUUCUGAUAGUGACGGCCUUGGUUCACAGGCUGAAAGAAACAAAACAUCUGUGAGGCGGAAACCCAUCAGCUUGGCGACCUUGGCACACACCCUCGCAUCAGUCCUCAUUUCUGAUGUUUUGAUAUCAACGGUUCUCAUUUUUUGAGAUCUUAUUUCUGAUAUUCCAUCUGCAGGAGAGAGCUGCGUCCCCUUCCCAGCGUAGGCAGAGGCUCUGGGAGACCCAGCAAUCCCAGGGUGGCAUAACCCACAGAACGCAGGCCACUUUAAAGGGUUCCGUAGCAUCUGUGAUGUAAACAGAGGCCUCCCUCACAUGAGAGCUCUCCGUGUGGAAUCUUUAGGCUGUUGCUGCUUCUGGAGACAGCAGAGGAAAACAAGGUCUCCUGCUGAAAGCACUGGCAAUGGCUAGAGGUGCAGCAAAACAUAUUUAUGUCUCAGGGCCAGUAAGUUGGCGAGGACCACUCUGUUGCCGUUAGCUUGGACUGUUCAUGUGAAUCUCAGGUCCCACCCCCAAAUGUAUACGAAAACUGUGAGCAUGGAUCAGAAUGAGCUGACAAAGUGGUGCUAGUAAAAAUGGGGACUCUCUAACCCCCCCCACAAUAAACCUUUCCUCAUUUCUUGAAACACAACUAAGAAACACACAAAAAACAAGACAGAAAAACAAAUGAAUGCCAAUAAUAAAACUUGAUUUUCUUCCUCUUUGAGGAGAAAGUUCGGACAGCUAAUACCAACUCCAUUUUGAGGAUAAUUCUAAAUGUUUUCCUAACGUGGCUAACAAUGACAAAAUUCUAACAUGGAAACCACAUUAUUUUGGCCUUCUUGUUUUACCACACGGUGGAACUUGGCAUGCAUUUGUGAAGUGCAUUCAGAACUCCUGCUCCCACAGGGGUUGCUAAGGCCCCUUCACCCUAGUGAGGAGAUGUGGUCCCAUGGUGCAGAGGUGCAGAGACCAAGCUAAGAUGUGUCAGUCACCCAUGUGAGAAUCAUGUCACUUAGCCUGGCUACCUGCGAUGCACCAUGCAUUUCGGUGCUCUCAGAUAAUUUGGUGAGUGAACGGCAGGCAACACCGUCACGGUAAUCAGAAAUAACAGCUGGGAGAACAGUGGAAGGGAAAUAUGUCAUAAGGCAUAACUCAUCUCACCAGAGAAAUCAAAAUUUCAGCAAUUUGCAAGUGAAAUUUAGUUGGCAAUUUAGGCUUUAUUAUUUAGAGCGAGAGCUGCUUCUCUGGAUCAGCUUGCACUGGGAUAGGAAAUGUCCCAAUGAUGCCGUCGUUGGCAUCCACUGUGCGUCUGCAGCACUGAGGCCUCUGGUGAAUGGACUUCUGCUUAUUUAUCUCCACAUGCACUUCCAGAACUUUCUGGGUAGGUAUCACAGCUCCAUAACCGAGCAAAUGUCCACCCCUGAAUUUUAUAGCCAUUGGUUCUAUGUAAACUCAUUCCAAGCCCUUAUUCCAGAUGCUGUCUUUCCUUCCUUGGAAAGCUCUUUGCCCUGGGCACACUAGUUCUUCUCAGUGAUCCAAGGGGGAAGAAAGGCACAUCCAAUAAUGACUCACAAUAGUGUUUGGAAACAUUCAAUAACAGCUUUUCAGAGAAGGAAAAACUUCAUAUGCAGAGGUAUGUCUGCCUGAAGUCAAAUGUCAUCAAGUUGACUUUAUGGGGCUGAAGACCUGCUACCCCACCUGUGGUAUCUUGCAUUGAGAAACAGAAGCAGUGACAAGGUUGCACAUCCCUGCCCUUGCUCUUUACCUCAUACAACUGAGGAAGGAGUUUGUGGUGUACUCCUAAACCUUAUGUGAUCCUCCCUGCACCCAGAAGAAAGGAUCCCCCUUAUCUCAAGAAGGUGCAGGAACACAGGGGAGAGGCUGAUCAAAAGGCCUUGCUAAGCUCUCCUGGUAUCCUUCCAGUAGAUCAUAUCACCUUUAUUAAAUCAUAGUUCUCCAUGAAUUUCCACUCUGUCUAAUCUAGCAUGACAAUAAGCAAGAGACCAUUUCUCUUGGAAAAUUCAAGUGUAAUCAUUUCUCUGGGUCUUCCUUUUUUUUCUUUUUGAGGGUUCUUGUGUCAUGAAACACGUAUGAAAUUUAUUUGUAGGCUUUAAAAAAGAAAUGAAUCUGUCUUCUAUUAUAAAUUCUCAGCCAUGGACCUAAGGUGGGUAGUGAAGGAGACAUUUUCCCUUUCCUGGGUUUCUCCUAUAGACAUAUCAAUAAGUUUGUUUUUUGGGUAGGUAACAUCCUGUGACGGUAUCUGUGAUGGUCAAAUAAAAUCAAGGUUUGAUUUUGGAAUUUAGCCUUACGUGCAGAAUACUCUAAGUAUUCUUAGAGUAUAAUGCAAAAGGCCAUUGCUCAUGCCCAGAAGUAACAACACCAACUCCAAUAGCAGCAGCAACUUACUGGUGUCUACGAACACCUACGAGGGCCACAGCAGUGACGCAUAUUUACCUCAGUUACCUCGUGCUAAUUCUCGAGAGGGAUGAUCUCAUUUGAGCCCCACUGCAAGCCUGUGAACUACAUAUGAUUAACUCAUUUAUUAGAAGAGGACAUUCUGCUACUAGUAUUAACCCAAGACCGUGCUUGCCAGGACACGGUGCAGCUAGGAUCUGUACCCAUUCGUGAGACUCCAUCUCGGCACUAGUUUGUUUGUAUUGUUUAAUGCAGCUUGGGAAUUCACGCAGAAUGUGGAAUGCAAUGUUUCUGAAUAACAACCUGGCAGGAUCCAUUCAGUAUACGGAAAGGAAAAAGGAAGCAGUCCCAAGAUACAUUUGUCUGAAGCAUACGAGACUGUCCGAUUUUUAUAAAUUAAGUUCACUUGAUUUGACACUCACAGCAUGUCGCUAUAUAUUUAAAGUUAACAUCAGUAAGAUUUUAAGCACACUGAUGAACGUGGGCCUGUUAUAUAUAGUUGAGUUAUAUCAGGCAACACACACUCGGAGAAUAAGGACCAUUCAUAUUGUGAGGUGACUUUUGUAGUCGCUAGCCAUAGAACAACUUGCACAUAACCAUAUUUUCUCCUGACAGCACAGAAAUGACCGUGACUCUAAUAUCAGUUUCCUCGUAUCAUUUCUCAGUUUCAUCUGAUUUUAUCUACAGUGCAGCACAAUCAAAACCCUACCUUCCUAGUUUACCCAGAUAACAAACAAGCCUGGCAUAUCCUGCAAGAGCUGAGGAACUAAUGAGUCUGUGGAUGAGAAGAAAUUAAGACCCAUUAGGGCCCCAGUCCGUGUGCACGGCCCCAGGAUGCCUGCUUAGCUCCAGGAGCCAUGAGAAGAGGAACUUGAAGAACUCCUGCCAGGUAGCAGGCUCCUAACAUGGAAAGGCCCUUUGGGGCUGGCUCAGCAGCUAAUGGUGCUUUCCACAGAGCCUGACAACUGGGCCCAGUCAAUCCCUGGGACUGCCAUGGUGGAAGAGAACUAAUUCAGCCAGGCUGUGCUCCAACAUCCAUGCCCGUGCCAUGGUGCGUACCCCUCACAGAUAGAUGAACGUAAAGGACUUCUUUAAUAAAAAGUUAGCCACCCUGUAAGGCAGAGGAGGCGGUGGAAACAACCAAACCCAGACAAAAUCCAAACAAACAAGUGGGUGUGUCCCAAAGGGAGAGGUCAAUGGAAGAGCAGGCAGGCUGGCAGAGAACAGGGACAGGGGACACUGUGGCUGGAGCGCAGUGUCAUUCGCCUGUGCACAUGCUGGAUGGGGUGGGGCAGGCAGCCAGGGUGAGUCUCAAGUUCUAUGUGAGCUGAGGGAGAGGGCCUGAAGAGAAGGGUAUCUGGCAUAAGGAGAGACGCUGCUCUCACCUCCACAGUCUGCCUCUUUCUCGAAUCUGAAAUGCCUUCCUCUGUUUUGUCUACAUGUAAACUUGCACUCCUUCAUGAGCUCUGACCUAAGUGAGGACGUCUGACAGCGUGCCUGGGACCUAGAGGCCAUGUUGAUAUGGAUUGCUCCUUCCUAUACCUUCCCACAGUUCUUUGUCUCACUGACACUCAUCAUCCUGAAUCGCAGAGCUUCUGUCGCUCUGUGAGCAUCCUAAGGUGGGGACAAGUUUUAUCCCUAACAUCCCUCCUAGUCCCCACCACAUUGUACUGAAUAGGUGCGGAAUGAGCGCAUGCGACACAGAUGACGAAGUCUGGGACGGGAGGUGGACAUUUACUCCUGCUCUGGGCACAGAGGAAGAUAUGGCCUUCACAGUGAGGCCUAGAGUAGUGCCACCGAAAAUCCUGGAGCUGUCUGGGUGUCAAUCCGGAGCAAGGUACACGGAUACCCUCACCGUGCAGGUACAGAGCUGGAACUGUAACUUGGAGGGAAUGGUGGAGAGAAGGGGGAAGUGAGGCUGGGGUAGGGUGGUCUCUCAGAGUGCAGGAAGCCCUCUGCCUCAGACUCCAGAGGCAAUGGGAGUCACUGCUUUAGGGAGAACGGAGCGUGUGUGAAUAUCCACAGAGACCAGAAGAGGAGGUUGGGUCCCCUAGAGCUGGAGUAACAGGCAGCUGUGGGCUGCCUGCUGUGGCUACAACAGACUGAAUUCUGGCCAUCUGACAACUAAGGAUUUUACUAAGUGCUUAUUAUGUUUCAAAUUCAGCAGCAGAUGUUUUACAAGGCGGUAGGCCACCGGGUGAGUGCUCCUAACCCUUAGAUCAGAGGCAAGGAGAUGAGGUAUGAGAAAAGCCAGACAAACAGCACCGCGCCAAGUCCCUCUUCUGACCUCCGAGGAUACCAGGAGUGCACAUGUUCCAGUGGUGGAGCAAACCGAACUUGAUGAAAUAAUAAACACGUCCCAUGAAUCUGAAGAAUAGGACAGCGAUGAGAACCCCGUAUCCAGGGCAACCAAGAGUUCAGACUUCUCAGUCCAUAAAUAAUCAUUCCCCGGCUUGCCCUCUGUACUCCUGGUCUCUGAGCCACUUUCUGACAAAAUGGGCUCCAUCCGGACGGAGGCUGCCACUCUUUCUCUAACUGGGGCUUAAAUGACUGCUGGGGAAUAUUCUAUAAAAAAGGCACCGUUUCACUUCUGUCUGCAACUGACUCUUGUAAUUUUUCUCUGGUGAGAGGAUGCUCUGUGGCCAGAGUCAUGGGGGCAUAGAUACCAUCUAGCACCAAGCUGCCUAGAAAGUUCUGGGUAUCCAUGGCUGCGUCUAAUGAGACCAGAUUGAGCAAGAGGAAGCUGGAGGCAGGGGAGACAGAGACAAAGGUCCCAAAGUGAGCACUGGUGGUAACUGUCCGCCUUUGAACCUCCUUAGAGACUUCUGGAUUCACUGUCCAUGAUGACUUGCAUGUUCUCUCAAGAGCACAGGAACCUUAUCUUCCAUUGGAUGCCUGUAGCACCCAUUUGACAAGCAACUCACAUAUUAAGAGUCAGGAAGACAGCCGGGCCACUUCUCAGGAACCGCAGUGUUCUCACAGGAAGUGGAAACGCUAGUGGCAGCUGGAAGGACUCAUGUAACUAACACAUUGGACUACACGCCAAGAGGCUGCCCAGACACACGAUGUCUACAAAACUGUUGGGGGGCCUGGAACAACUGGCAGAUAGCAAACAAUUACUUAUUAAAUAUGCAAAACUUAUCUUCUCUCUACUACAUUUGAACUUAACAUUAUGUAGGUUUAAAACGUAUCUUAAACAUUUUAAGGAUUUAUUGAUAUUUACUUAA